rnacentral:rRNA from 1 species
UGCAUGUCUAAGUAUAAAUAACUACACAGUAAAACUGCGAAUGGCUCAUUAAAACAGUUAUAGUUUAUUUGAUACAUAAAAUGGAUAACUGUAGAAAAACUAGAGCUAAUACAUGCCAAGACCGCAAGGUCGUAUUUAUUAGAUAUACCAAGCAGGUGAAUCAUAAUAACUUCGCAAAUCGUGGCCACGCCGCGAUAAAUCAUUCAAGUUUCUGCCCUAUCAUGCUUUCGAUGGUAGUGUAUUGGACUACCAUGGCUCUCACGGGUAACGGGGAAUUAGGGUUCGAUUCCGGAGAAGGAGCCUGAGAAACGGCUACUACAUCUAAGGAAGGCAGCAGGCGCGUAAAUUACCCAAUCCUGACUCAGGGAGGUAGUGACAAGAUAUAACGACGCGACUAAAAAUCGCGAUUGUAGUGAGGGUAUUCCAAACCGAACCACUAGUACAAUUGGAGGGCAAGUCUGGUGCCAGCAGCCGCGGUAAUUCCAGCUCCAAUAGCGUAUAUUAAAGUUGUUGCAGUUAAAAAGCUCGUAGUUGGAUUUCAAGGGUCGCAACAUGGACACAUGUUUGCUCCCUAUCAGUCUUUGACUGUUACUGUGAGAACAUUAGAGUGUUUCAAGCAGGCUGUUGCAGGAAUACAUUAGCAUGGAAUAACGGAUGUGUCUAGAAUCUUGGUUAAUUCUAGAUUACGAUUAAUAGGGACAGUUGGGGGCAUUAGUAUUUAAUUGUCAGAGGUGAAAUUCAUGGAUUUAUUAAAGACUAACGUAUGCGAAAGCAUUUGCCAAGGAUGUUUUCAUUAAUCA